rnacentral:misc_RNA from 1 species
ACAGUAGUUUCCCCUUACACCUCAGGUUUGGAUGAUACGAAUCAUAAGAGGAACCGGUCUGUGUUUGAAAAACAUGGUUUGCGAGUCUUUAAUGACUCUGUAGAUAGGUUGUCUCAUCAUUGUUCUUCUUCGCGGAACAUAGAUGCCCUUGAUGAUCAGAAGCUUUUGGAUUGUAGCCAAGAGUAUUCUUCUUCUAGAUCCACCUCUUUGCAUCAUACGUCUUCAGCAUUUCCUAGUUCCAAAACUGAACUUUCUCAGAUUGAUUUAUCAUGGGACACACGAUACUCAUCUGAUUAUAGAACUAUGGCGCCUUUUGACGAUUGGGAGCCAUCUGUUCCUUUUCGACCAUCAUUCUUGCUUAGUCAAAUGAUUGGAUGUCCUGAAAGUCUAUACGAUCCUAUUCGUGAUAGUAUUGAUCAAAGUAAUGUAGGAGAUGGACCCUCAAAAUUGUCUUCCUCUGCAAAAGGAGGGCCUGUAGUAACCAAGCAUAUGCAGGCAAAUGCUGAUCCAGUUUCAACAGGAACCUUGGGUCCAGAACAGAGCUCUAAUGAAGUUCCAAUUUCUGGUAAUAUCUACCAUAGGGAUAUAUUGCCUGACUACCUGUCCGAGAAAGAUAUGUCUACUAAUGAAACAGAUACAGCAGAUACAGCAGUUGCUCAUCAGGAAAUCAAUACCUCUUCAAAAGAAGAUAAGUAUUCAAGAUCUGCUAACCUCAGAGGUGCCACAAAAGCAGAUAAACAAUUAUCUACUGAACUACCGCGCACCAGGACCAGAAAAAAGACACAAUCAGAGUCUGAGAGGCUCAGACACGGAACUGAAAUUGAUAUUGACCGGAAGACAGACAGAUCUGUGAACAAAGAGUCUAGAGUUAUGAAGCAUUUUCAUGCUGCUCUUGUAGAAUUUGUUAAAGAACUAUUAAGGCCAACUUGGAGUGAAGGUCUCAUGAGUAAGGAUGCUUACAAGAUGAUAGUCAAGAAGACAAUUAAUAAAGUUGUCAACUCUUUGCACCCCAAUCAGAUUCCUGGUACAGCUGAAUCCAUCAGACAGUAUCUUGAUUUAUCUCAGCAAAAACUUGCUAAGCUCAUUGAGGCGUACGUGGAAAAAUAUGGAAAAUCGUGAUAACAUUAAAUGAGCUUUGGUCAGCAUAAGGGUGCAUGGAUAUAUAUGGAAAAUCUUGAAUCUAUUAAAUCAGUUAUGCUAAGCAUAUUGCCAACAAUAGUGAAUUGGUAAAGCCCAAUUUUGUGAGCCUAAUUUGAUACUUCUAGGGGUUAGAAUGAAGACUUCGGAACCUUUUAUUUUGUGUACGGAUUUUCUCUGUUUAGCUAGGAACUUUUCUGCUACCUUUAUGGGUUGGAGGAAUUUUUCUGUUGUGUUUACUGAUGCAGCACUUGUGUCCAUAACUGAAGUCAACUAUCGUAUUGUAACUUCUCAUUGGGGUUAUAGCAAUGGCAGUUCCUAAAUAGGUUUUGGUGAUUCAUGUUGUUAACAGUAUCGAGUGUUG